rnacentral:rRNA from 1 species
AGUGAACGCUGGCGGUAGGCCUAACACAUGCAAGUCGAACGGCAGCACAGUAAGAGCUUGCUCUUACGGGUGGCGAGUGGCGGACGGGUGAGGAAUACAUCGGAAUCUACUUUUUCGUGGGGGAUAACGUAGGGAAACUUACGCUAAUACCGCAUACGACCUACGGGUGAAAGCAGGGGAUCUUCGGACCUUGCGCGAUUGAAUGAGCCGAUGUCGGGUUAGCUAGUUGGCGGGGUAAAGGCCCACCAAGGCGACGAUCCGUAGCUGGUCUGAGAGGAUGAUCAGCCACACUGGAACUGAGACACGGUCCAGACUCCUACGGGAGGCAGCAGUGGGGAAUAUUGGACAAUGGGCGCAAGCCUGAUCCAGCCAUACCGCGUGGGAGAAGAAGGCCUUCGGGUUGUAAAGCCCUUUUGUUGGGAAAGAAAAGCAGCAGGUUAAUACCCCGCUGUUCUGACGGUACCCAAAUAAUAAGCACCGGCUAACUUCGUG